CAGCGGGGCCGGGCGGUCGCGGCCUUGCGGCGUACGCGCGGCUUCGGUUGCGUGGUGCCGCGGGGGCGAGGAAAGUCCGAACUCCAUAGAGCGGUGUGCCGGAUAACGUCCGGGGGCCAGGCUUCAAGGCCUGAGCUACGGCCAGUGCCACAGAGAACAUACCGCCUCGCUUUGGCGGGGUAAGGGUGAAAAGGUGCGGUAAGAGCGCACCGGGCGGGCAGUAAUGCGCGUUGCAUGGUAAACCCCACACGGAGCAAGACCAAAUAGGGAGAGAGUGCCGGCUCGGCGCGCUAAGAUCUCCGGGUAGGUCGCUGGAGCCCGACAGCAAUGGCGGGCGUAGAGGAAUGACCGUUAGAACAGAAUUCGGCUUAUGAGCCCCGCUGCAAA
rnacentral:RNase_P_RNA from 1 species